rnacentral:misc_RNA from 1 species
ACAGAGAAGAGUGACGUUGAAUAUCCCAUGUGGUAAAUUCUGAAAGUUUCACCACGAAUCUGCUGCAAUCUUUUUUGCAUUUGGGGGAUUAAUUGAGCCUCUUUCUGUACAGUAUUUAAGAAAACUAUCAGCAUAUGCUUUCUGUAUCCAUAAAACAGAAUCAAAGAUGUCGCGUUUCUUUCGUGCGGGUUCCGAAUCGGAAUCGGAGAGUGAGUCGAGCGGUGAGGAGUUGCAGCCCCAGCGCCCAACUGCUACCAGGGCUGUGUUUCAGAUGAGUGAUGAUGAAGAAGACACAAAGAGAGUUGUUCGCAGUGAGAAGGACAAGAGGUAUGAGGAGAUCAACAAUGUCAUCAAACAGCUGAAGAAUCACAAGAAGAUCAAAGACAUGUCCAACGUCCUCACAGACUUCGAGGGUCUGGGCAAGGCAUAUGAGAAGGCCAGGAAGGUGGUGGACAAGGAGGGAAUCCCACGCUUCUACAUCCGCUGUCUGGUGGAGCUGGAGGACUUCGUCAAUGAGUGCUGGGAAGACAAGGACUGGAGGAAGCAGAUCAGCAAGAGCAAUGCCCGGGGGCUGACCACACUCCGACAAAAGCUGAAGAAGUACCUGCGUGACUUCACUGACGAGGUGACCAAGUACCGGGACAACCCAGAUGCCGGGGAUGAUGAAGAAGUUGCCGCCCCGCCAAAGGAAGUGGAGUCAGAUGAAGAUGAGGAUGAGGAUGACGAGGAUGUAUCCAGCAUUCCUCGGCGACCAGCCAAGAAGAUGCUUGACGAUGAUGACAUGGACAGUGACGACAGUGACUCCUGGGACAGUUCAACCACCGAGUCUGAGUCGGACUCCGGGGACGAGAAACUGGAUACAAUGAAACUCACAGCAGAAUACUUCUUGAAAAAGACAACGGAAGAUGAGCGCCUGAAGAGAGAAGAGAGGAAAAGAGAGCGGAAGAAGGAGAAAGAGGCAAAGAAGAAGUCAAAAGAUGACGAAGAUGGAGAAUGGCAGGAAGUGGUGGGAGGAGUGCCGCUCAUGACAGAGAAGCCCAAGAUGUUCCGCAAGGACGAGGAGAUUACCCACGAGGCCGUGCUGAAGAAGCAGACAGAGAUCCUAUCAGCUCGUGGAAAGAAGAGCACAGACCGAUCGGAGCAGAUUGAGCUUUUCAAGGAGCUGCUGACAGUGUCUGAUACGGCCAAUCUCGGACCUGGCAUUGCUGUCAAGAUCAUGUUCAACAUCGUGUCAGCAAUCUUUGACUACAACCCUAACAUUGCCACCUGUAUGAGGUCCGAGGUGUGGGAAAGCUGUCUGGACAACGUGCAGAUCCUGCUGGAUAUGCUGAAGGAAAACGAUGAGAUCGUCAUUGGCGAGAACAUCCCCGACGACACACAGAUAUUUGAUAAAGCUCCGUACCGCGUGCGAGGCUGCAUCCUCACCAUGGUUGAGCGGAUGGAUGAAGAGUUCACCAAGAUGCUGCAGGCCUGUGAUGCUCACAGUACAGAGUAUGUAGACAGGUUGAAGGAUGAGCCGCGUGUGGCAGACCUCACUAAGCAGCUGGAGAAGUACCUGGAGACGCGCGCCACCACGGACGAGAUGUGUCGGGUGUACCUGCGCCGCAUUGAGCAGACCUACUACAAGUUUGACUACAAAGCCAUGGAGGGUGUGGAGCCGGACCCGGCUGAGGAGAACCCCGAGCAGAUGAUGGACCGACUCUGCAAGUACAUCUACGCCAAAGACAGCACGGACAGACUGCGUACCCGCUCCAUGCUGUGCCACAUCUACCACCACGCCCUGCAUGACCGUUGGUACCAGGCUCGGGACCUCAUGCUCAUGUCACACCUGCAGGACACAAUCCAUCACUCGGACGUACACACACAGAUCCUGUACAACCGCACUCUUGUGCAGCUGGGUCUAUGUGGGUUCCGGCGUGGCUUCAUCCGAGAUGCUCACAACGCCCUGGUUGACAUCCAGAGCAGCAACAGAGCCAAGGAGCUGCUUGCACAGGGACUGCUUCCUCAGCGCCAACAUGAACGUAGUGCCGAGCAGGAGAAGAUCGAGAAGCGACGUCUGCUGCCGUACCACAAACACAUCAAUCUGGAGCUGCUGGAGUGUGUGUACCUAGUGUCGGCUAUGCUGCUAGAGAUCCCUUACAUGGCAGCUCAUGAGCUUGAUGUGCGCCGUCGUAUGAUCAGCAAGAACUUCCACCACGUGAUGAAGAUGAGUGAGAGACAGAACUUGACUGGCCCCCCAGAGAGCAUGAGGGAGCAUGUGGUGGCAGCGUCCAAGUCCAUGAAGACCGGUGACUGGAAGGCCUGCAAGAACUUCAUCAUCAAUGAGAAGAUGAAUGCCAAGGUUUGGGAUCUGUUCUACCACAAGGACCAGGUACGUGACAUGAUCACCAACAAGAUCCAGGAGGAGAGCCUCAGGACGUACUUGUUCACCUACAGCAGCGUGUAUGACUCCCUCUCCAUGGACACACUGUCAGAGAUGUUUGAGCUCAACAAGCCUGUGGUGCACUCCAUCAUCAGCAAGAUGAUCAUCAACGAGGAACUCAUGGCCUCCCUGGACGAGCCGACGCAGACGGUGGUGAUGCACCGCACGGAGCCGAGCCGCCUGCAGUCCCUGGCCCUGCAGCUGUCGGAGAAGGUGGCCACCCUGGUGGAGAAUAACGAGCGCAUCAUGGAGAUGAAGCAGGGCAACUUCUACUUCCAGAAGUCCAAGCUAUAUAUUUGACUGAUAAUCAAGGCUACCAGCAGAACCAGAACUGGAGCCGGCGAGAUGGGGAUCAUCAGAAAGGUGGUUGGAACCGGCGUGACGGAGAUCAUCAUAAACAAGGUGGUUGGA